GAGAGGAGGGCUCAGCAGUUGAGAGUGCUGGCUGUGCUUCCAGGGGACCUGGGUUCAAUUCCCAGCACCCUCA
rnacentral:tRNA from 1 species